rnacentral:rRNA from 1 species
UAAGGAAUAUUGGUCAAUGGGCGGAAGCCUGAACCAGCCAUGCCGCGUGCAGGAUGACUGCCCUAUGGGUUGUAAACUGCUUUUGUCCAGGAAUAAACCUAGAUACGUGUAUCUAGCUGAAUGUACUGGAAGAAUAAGGAUCGGCUAACUCCGUGCCAGCAGCCGCGGUAAUACGGAGGAUCCGAGCGUUAUCCGGAUUUAUUGGGUUUAAAGGGUGCGUAGGCGGCCUAUUAAGUCAGGGUGAAAUACGGUGGCUCAACCAUCGCAGUGCCUUUGAUACUGAUGGGCUUGAAUCCAUUUGAAGUGGGCGGAAUAAGACAAGUAGCGGUGAAAUGCAUAGAUAUGUCUUAGAACUCCGAUUGCGAAGGCAGCUCACUAAGCUGGUAUUGACGCUGAUGCACGAAAGCGUGGGGAUCGAACAGGAUUAGAUACCCUGGUAGUCCACGCCCUAAACGAUGAUAACUCGAUGUUGGCGAUAGACAGCCAGCGUCCAAGCGAAAGCGUUAAGUUAUCCACCUGGGGAGUACGCCCCGCAAGGGUGAAACUCAAAUGAA